rfam:Cavia porcellus supercont2_44 genomic scaffold, whole genome shotgun sequence.
GGAUGUGAGGGUGUUCUGGCUGUGACAACUGUCACCCUAUUGAUCCCUGGAAUUGACAUGCUUGAUCCGGCUAGCCAGACAACUGCCCCCUUCCUCCCUCACUGCUCCAUGUGGGUGCCUCCUGAAAGUGUGCAAUCAGUGGAAGAGGAAGUCUCCCUCCAUCCUAUGGAGGAGGACUGUUUCGUUGGUCAACGGUACGAGUAGCUGUGCUCCUCUGCUAUAACCUUCAGACACAUGUGGGCAUAUUACUGGGCUCAGUAAGUUUUACUUACUUUUGUUGCUUGAGACCCAAA